rnacentral:rRNA from 1 species
UAAAGAUUCAUCGCUGAUAGAUAGGCAUGCGUUCCAUUAGGCAGUUGGCGGGGUAACGGCCCACCAAACCGACGAUGGAUAGGGGUUCUGAGAGGAAGGUCCCCCACAUUGGUACUGAGACACGGACCAAACUCCUACGGGAGGCAGCAGUGAGGAAUAUUGGUCAAUGGGCGUAAGCCUGAACCAGCCAAGUCGCGUGAGGGAUGAAGGUUCUAUGGAUCGUAAACCUCUUUUAUAAGGGAAUAAAGUGUGGGACGUGUCCUGUUUUGUAUGUACCUUAUGAAUAAGGAUCGGCUAACUCCGUGCCAGCAGCCGCGGUAAUACGGAGGAUCCGAGCGUUAUCCGGAUUUAUUGGGUUUAAAGGGUGCGUAGGCGGCCUUUUAAGUCAGCGGUGAAAGUCUGUGGCUCAACCAUAGAAUUGCCGUUGAAACUGGGAGGCUUGAGUAUGUUUGAGGCAGGCGGAAUGCGUGGUGUAGCGGUGAAAUGCUUAGAUAUCACGCAGAACCCCGAUUGCGAAGGCAGCCUGCCAAGCCAUGACUGACGCUGAUGCACGAAAGCGUGGGGAUCAAACAGGAUUAGAUACCCUGGUAGUCCACGCA